GAGAAAACUGGUGUCAUCUUCCUACAGCUUUUAUCACUCUGUUUCAUUCUCAAGAAAUAAAGGAUGUGGGUGUUCUGUUUCUUCUUUCUCCUCGAUCUCUUAUCCAGUCUUUCAGACUGUGUCCGGAUUGAGCAGCCAUCAAACCUGAUAGCACGUCUCACAGAUAAUGUUACAGUCUCCUGUAAACAUGAUGACAACAAUUUAGAUAUCAUGCUUUGGUAUCAGCGAAGGAAAAACAGCACAGCUUUGGCUUUGAUCAGUCAUAACUAUGCCACAGCCAGACCGACCUAUGAGGCUGGAUACACAACACGGUUCAAACACAACAGGAUUGACACAUUAACUGGAGAUCUGACCAUCUCUGAUCUCAACCUGUCAGAUUCUGCUGUAUAUUAUUGCGCUGUGAAACCACACAGUGCUUCUGUUUCAUCACCUGUCUGACUUAAAACCAAAAGAGCAUACAGGAAGUUCACACCACAGCACAUCAGCUCACUGAUACACAUUACAUAAUGAAUUCAAUCAUAUACAAUUGAGCAAGUCUCUUCUGACCUAAUCCGGCAUCAACAUGACUGAAUGUCUCUAUACAUUAUUAUUGAAUUCACUGAAAGGUGCCUGUAACAGUGUGCUGAUCAUUCAAUGACCUAAAUACAGUAUAUCUCCAGUUUAAGUGCGUCAGUGGACAUGCAUUGUUACCAGAUUGGCACAGAUUAGCAGUAUACUUACUGGUACCAACAAAUCAAAGGCAAAGAGCUAGUUCUUAUAGCUUCAUAUUUAGCUCAUAGUCCCAGAUAUGAGGUUUUGGAAAGAUUUUAAGGUUUGGGGACCAGAGAGAAAGAAGUGGUCAACUGAAAGAGGAUGCUGAAAAAGACAGUUAUGUGGUUUACCUUUGAGCUGCUCAUCUUCACUCUGCAUGGAUGCUGAUAAUCUGUGGGACAAAAACAUACUGGACGGUAGCCAGAGAUCUCAGCUGACUCAGCUACAUCUACAUUAGCUUCAGAGUGUUGAUUUUAUUUUGUUUGUUUUGCUUUUUAAAUGUUAACUGAAUAUCUGCUGGGAAAUGAAUUCAAAUUGUUCUAACAUGAUUUUUACAAUUGUAACAAUUGUAAAUUCUUUUUACACAGAAUAUGGAAAAUUCAAUUAAGAUUUUUUUUCCCUUGAAUGUUGAAUGCUACUGAGCAGAUGAGUGACAAAAGAACCUUUAAUCCCUGCACAGUGUGCUACAUUUGGCAUAAACCAAACACUGCUUAUCAGAUCACCAUCUUCACAGAAAAGCAUGAUAUUGGUAGAAUCAUGUUGUUUUUCAUCAGCAGGAAUUGGGAAACUGGCCAGAAUUGAGGGCAUGAUAGAUAAAUCCAAGGACAAGUAAAAAUGUUCUAGAUUGCAGGAGACCUAAGACCUGGAUAGAGGUUCACCUACCAACAUAACAACAAUCCUAAGAACACUGGCAAAGCCAUAACAACAUAUUCAGAUGGUUUAGCUAGAGAUUGCGCUAUUUGAGAAUCACUGACUUGAGAAUUAAGAACUGUUCACUGUUCAACAGUCUUCAUCAAAUCUGACAGAUCAUGGAGAGUCUCUGACAUGCUAUAGAAUGUAUAGCAUUGGUUUGUUUGAAUCGAGUGGAAUAGGCCAUACUUCUUGCUUCGUGUUUUUAUUUUUUAAGUUUAUUUUGUCAGACAAAUAAAUUAAACAAUUCAUAUUUUUCUACAUAAAUAAAGGUGUAAUAUGCAGCCAUAACCCCGGGAACCUUCCCAGAACCAUUUAAACCACAACUAUAUGAGUGUUUUGCCAGUAGGAGGAGAUGUCUACAACUGCAAACCUCCCAGAAUCCUUACUGCUUGCUCUGAUGCUCAGUCACUAUAAGCCUCUCUGUUUCUAAUAAUAUAAAGGCUGUUAGUAUCUGUUUAAGUCUCUUACUUUAUAUGUGCAUCAGAAAGAUGUAUGCAUUUGUUUCUAAGUUGUGCCUGUUCGUCUAUGUCUUUACAGGAAGGUCCAACUGUGCUAAUGUUCUACAGACUUCUUCACUAUUUGUGAAUAAAACGCAGAAUGUAACAAUUCAGUGUAGCCAUGAUGACAGCAGCUUACGCGUUAUGUUAUGGUAUCAGCAAAAAAUUGACAGUAAAAU